rnacentral:rRNA from 1 species
AGUGAACGCUGGCGGUAGGCCUAACACAUGCAAGUCGAACGGCAGCACAGUAAGAGCUUGCUCUUACGGGUGGCGAGUGGCGGACGGGUGAGGAAUACAUCGGAAUCUACUUUUUCGUGGGGGAUAACGUAGGGAAACUUACGCUAAUACCGGAUACGACCUACGGGUGAAAGCAGGGGAUCUUCGGACCUUGCGCGAUUGAAUGAGCCGAUGUCGGAUUAGCUAGUUGGCGGGGUAAAGGCCCACCAGGGCGACGAUCCGUAGCUGGUCUGAGAGGAUGAUCAGCCACACUGGAACUGAGACACGGUCCAGACUCCUACGGGAGGCAGCAGUGGGGAAUAUUGGACAAUGGGCGCAAGCCUGAUCCAGCCAUACCGCGUGGGUGAAGAGGGCCUUCGGGUUGUAAAGCCCUUUUGUUGGGAAAGAAAAGCAGCAGGUUAAUACCCCGCUGUUCUGACGGUACCCAAAGAAUAAGCACCGGCUAACUUCGUG